ensembl:lncRNA
GUUUUUCUGAUAUAUAAACUACAUUGCCGCAGCAGAGACUCAGAUAUCCCUGGUGCCAAAACACCGGAUCCUACAUUUCCCACAAUGCAACACCACAGUUUCUUUUCAUUUGAAACCCACAUCUUUCAAACACUGCGCAGUUUGUAAAGCGAGCUUUCUGUUUUAGGAUUUAGCGAGACAACACUUUAUUUAUUUAUUUAUUUUUCAGACCUUGGAAAAGCAGAAGACGUCAUUGAACCGUUUCCACGGGCUGACUGACAACAAUGAGCAGCAAUCUGACUUUAAUGAGUGAAAUCAGUGGCCCUUCAGAAAGUCAAAGCACAUGGAACCACUAGAGGGCAAUAAUAAAGAACUAAACUUCAGCGCUGUCUGUGGUCUGAGGAAGUUGUGCAGACGUAUUGUGUUUUAUUCAUUUCAAUUAUCAAACCUCAAAUACUUUUUACAAGGAUGUGAAUCACAACCGAGACGUGGAACCUUUCCUUCACCUUUGUGGGGAGCUCACCUGAACAGCGUGCGUCUUUUCUCUGCUCUUCCUGUGCCGACGGAAGGCGGAGAGGCGGCUCGGUGCAGUAGGAGGACACUGAUGAAGAGGCUCGGUGCAUUCAAACCAUCAUCAUCAUCAUCAUCACAGCAUCAUCUCAACCGGAGGAGGAGAAAAGAAAGAAGAAGAAAAAACACCACCCCUGCUUCUGUCGGUGGUGUCGCGCGCACAGGCGCCUCCUUUAAACCCGCCCGGUGGAAACUUUGAAGCUUGGCGGCGCACAGUUCGGCUCCGGCGGCGCCUCGUUUCCUCGUCUCCUUUAAACUCACUUUACGGGCUUCUUCUUCUUCUUCUUCUUUUUAUUUUUUAUUUUUUGUUUUACUUCAAAAUGCCGUUGACUGGUGUUUUUUUGCAUGCGGCCAAACCGGAGAGCCCUGCUGAAUAUUUAUCCAAACGGCGCGAUAAUGGUCGUCAAUAACAGUCGGAGAAGCAGCGCGGCGGCGGCGGCGCAGCGGCGCCACAUGGAGCCGCCGGAGCUUCCGAUGCUUCACUCACAUGGCAGAGGAGCUCGAAGGAAAAGCCGGUUCAAAGGCUCCGACGGCAGCACCUCCUCAGACACCACCACCAACAGCCUCGUUCGCCAGGUAAGGACGCCGCCGCCGC